rnacentral:tRNA from 1 species
UAGGGUAAAAGCUUACAAGAGCAGCUAACUGUUAAUUAGAAGAUUGCGAACAACAACCACCGCUUACCCUAUC